UGGGGAAUUUUGCACAAUGGGGGAAACCCUGAUGCAGCGACGCCGCGUGAUUUAGAAGGCCUUCGGGUUGUAAAAAUCUUUUCUAUGGGAAGAAAAUGACAGUACCAUAGGAAUAAGGACCGGCUAAUUACGUGCCAGCAGCCGCAGUAAUACGUAAGGUCCGAGCGUUGUCCGGAAUCAUUGGGCGUAAAGGGUACGUAGGCGGGUAAGCAAGUUAGAAGUGAAAUCCUGUAGCUCAACUACAGUAAGCUUUUAAAACUGCUCAUCUUGAGAUAUGGAAGGGAAAGUGGAAUUCCUAGUGUAGCGGUGAAAUGCGCAGAUAUUAGGAGGAAUACCGGUGGCGAAGGCGACUUUCUGGCCAUAAUCUGACGCUGAGGUACGAAAGCGUGGGUAGCAAACAGG
rnacentral:rRNA from 1 species